rnacentral:rRNA from 1 species
AGACAAUAGAUACCCUGGUAGUCCACGCGGUAAACGAUGGCCACUCGGCCUUUGGGGACGGAACCUCCGUCCGUGGGGGCCGUGAGCUAAACGCACUAAGUGGCCCGCCUGGGAACUACGAGCGCAAGCUUAAAACUCAAAGGAAUUGACGGGGGCCCGGCACAAGCAGCGGAGCGUGUGGUUUAAAUUUCGACGCAACGCGCAGAACCUUACCCAGGUUUGACAUGGCACUGCAAGCUCCUGAAAGGGGGUUCGGCCUUCGAGGGAGUGCCACAGAUGCUGCAUGGCUGUCGUCAGCUCGUGUCGUGAGAUGUUGGGUUUAAGUCCCGCAACGAGCGUAACCCCUACGGUCAGUUACCUGUGUCUGGCCGGACCGCCGGUUUUCCGGAGGAAGGCGGGGAUGACGUCAAGU